AUGGACAUAGCUACCUACUUGAUUCAAAUUAUUGAUUUGCUUCCUCUGCUGGAGCCUGGGGUUGAAGUUGGGAUUCUGCAUCUGGUCGGCCCUCAAUCACAGGCCAGGGAUGGCCAUGGUUUUUCUGCUUCAGAGUUGAGCUGGAUGCCCGCCCAGUGCGUGCACGAGUCUCCUGAACACAAUGAGCAUGCCGUGGUCUGUCGUCUGUUCCAGCAGCAACGUUCAUACAUUGUUGUCCACUACUCCAGUGCAGCAGCAGCCCGAAAAUAA
rnacentral:rRNA from 1 species